CGGCGGACGGGUGAGUAACGCGUGGGUAACCUGCCGUCAUACAGGAGGAUAACAGUUGGAAACGACUGCUAAUACCGCAUAAGCGGCACAGUACCGCAUGGUACCGUGUGAAAAACUCCGGUGGUAUGAGAUGGACCCGCGUCUGAUUAGCUAGUUGGUGGGGUAACGGCCUACCAAGGCGACGAUCAGUAGCCGACCUGAGAGGGUGACCGGCCACAUUGGGACUGAGACACGGCCCAA
rnacentral:rRNA from 1 species